rnacentral:lncRNA from 1 species
ACAAUAACUUUAGUUUAAGUGAAUGGAUAUCUAUGAAAUUUUAUAAGAAGGUUCAAUACCACAAAAGGAAGGUAAGGAUUAAUUUUUGGGAUGAUGGUCCCAACCGUUUUGAAAUUAUGGCCCAAAAGGGACCUAAAACAAGCAUUUUUCUUCUUUCAGGAUAUUAACUUGUCUAUAAGUAUUUCAAUUGCUCUGAAAUUGUACCACA